GACAGAGGGGGCAAGCGUUGCUCGGAAUUACUGGGCGUAAAGGGCGCGUAGGCGGGAUGGCAAGUCGGUCGUGAAAUCCUUCGGCUCAACCGAAGAACGUCGAUCGAUACUGCUGUUCUUGAGGGUUGCAGAGGAGACUGGAAUUCCUGGUGUAGCGGUGAAAUGCGCAGAUAUCAGGAGGAACACCGGUGGCGAAGGCGGCUACCUGGACCGGUUCUGACGCUGAGGCGCGAAAGCGUGGGUAGCAAACAGG
rnacentral:rRNA from 1 species